ACGCAUAAAUGCGUCCCCCAAACUGGCCCACGCUGGCCCAUUGUGUACAGGGGCCUUUAAAGAGUAAUAUAUUAAAAAACAUCACUGCCGUUGCAAAAUUGACACAAUGCUAUGUUUAACAAGAAUAACACUUUAUUAUUGUUUGUAAAUUACCGUUUUAUGCUACUAAAAUGUGUCCGCGGCUGGCAAAAGGGAUCACUUUUUCGCUUACCAUAAGGACGAGAUUUGCUUGUAUCUUUAUACGAAUAACCUGUCAAAGCAGUUAUGGCAAGCGAUAAAAAGGGACGUUUUUCCGGCCGUGGACACAAAUAUUCAUACAAAACAAAGAUACAACAAUUAUUUAGUUUUCGACUAUUUAUGUUAUUGUCUCUCUCAUUUCAACGAAGAUUGCUUUCUGUAGUGGAAGAUAGCAGAUAGAGGCGUAAACUAAAACAAUAACUAGUGACAGUUUACAAUAUCUACGGAACUUGGAAACCAAAUUACCACGCUCUUCUAAUAAAUAUUGAAUAAGUAUGUAAUCAUAAAAAAAAUGAACACGAAAUACGCCUAUAUUUUUGCACCUAGUAGACAAAAAUAUUACAUAAAUGUAUAAUUCUAUCUCGAAAAUAAGAUCUUAAUGCGAAAAUGGGUGUAUUCCCAUUUGUCCCCGCCGGGCACAGAUGGGAAUAGUAGGCGCUCAUUCCCAUUUGUUCCCUCCUCGUGUAUGGUGGCGGUCACGUGGGACGGGGAGAAAUGGGAAUAAACCCAAAAACGGCUACCCUACCAUUUUCGCUGGCAACGACUUAACCUAAGGCCCAUAGUAUAAGAAAAGUUGGCAGUUGAAUUUGAAUCAAAGGAGUACUAAAUAAGGUUUAAUUUGGUUUCUUUUAUAAUAAAAUAACAAAAUAAAUUCGACGUUACAAUUCAAUAUGAUUUAGGUAUCAGAUAGAUAUAUCGGAGCGGCCAAGAUUCUCGGGUCAUUGUCAAGGCGCUAGAGUGCGUGUUCAUAUAUUUUUGAGCAUCUCGGCCGCUCUGAUAUAUCUGAUGGAGGUUGGACCGUCGUCGGCUUUAGGAGGAUAAAGUAUAUUACACAGAUAUUAUGUAUUAUACAUAUAGGCAAUUAGGAAUGGGCGACUUCGGUGGUGAUUGUUUGAUUCGCAAAUCACAUUAUUUUGUUUAGUAUGUGCGAGUGUUUUUAUGUAUUAGUGUUUCCAAUAAAUCAUUUAUAAGUUUUUUCUAA